rnacentral:rRNA from 1 species
GAUGAACGCUGGCGGCGUGCCUAAUACAUGCAAGUCGAACGCAUAGCGAAAGCUUGUUGCACCUUUCAAGUGAGUGGCGAACGGUAAAGCAACACGGGGACAACCUGCCUCAAGGCUUGGGAUAGCAUUUGUAGACAUAUUCCAAUACCGGAGAAAACUUAGUGUCGCAUGACACAAAGUUAAAACGCGCUUCGGCGACACCUAGAGAUGUAUUCGCGGUGCUUGAGUUAGUUGGUGGGGUAAAGGCCUACCAAGACGAUGAUGCAUAGCCGAGUUGAGAGACUGAAGCGCGCCAGUGGGAGUGGGACACGGCACAAACUCCUACGGGAGGCCGAAGUAGGGAAUCUUGGACAAUGGGCGGAAGCCUGAUGGAGCAACGCAGGGUGUGUGCUGAAGGGUUUCGGGUCGUAAAGCACUGUUGUAUGGGAAGAACAGCUAGAAUAGGAACUGAUCUUAGUUUGACGGUACCAAAACAGAAAGGGACGGCUAACUACGUG